GGCCUCAUAGUUCAACAGGAUAGAACAAGUCUCUCCUAAAGAUUAGAUUCGCGUUCGAGUCGCGAUGGGGCUA
rnacentral:tRNA from 1 species